GCAUAAUAAUUUGCCCAUUAAUUGUGGGCUAGAAUGAAGGGGGUAACGAAAUAAGUACUGUCUCCUUAAGAAAUAUAAAAACUAAUAUUCAAGUGAAGAAGCUUAAAUAUAGUUAAAGGACAAGAAGACCCUAUAGAGCUUUAAUUUUAACUAAUAUACUAUUAAUAAGAUUUCGGUUGGGGCGACCAAGGAUAAAUCAUCCUUAAAUAUAAAGAUAAACAUAUCUAUAAACGACCCUUUAUAUAAGAUCCAAGGAACAAGCUACCUUAGGGAUAACAGGCUAAUCCUAUUAUAGAGCUCAUAUCGACAAUAGGGA
rnacentral:rRNA from 1 species